rnacentral:rRNA from 1 species
AGAGUUUGAUCCUGGCUCAGGAUGAACGCUAGCUACAGGCUUAACACAUGCAAGUCGAGGGGCGAGCGGGAUUGAAGCUUGCUUCAAUUGCCGGCGACCGGCGCACGGGUGAGUAACGCGUAUCCAACCUUCCGUACACUCAGGGAGUAGCCUUUCGAAGAAAGAUUAAUACCUGAUGGUAUGAUGAAAUUGCAUGAUAGCAUCAUUAAGAUUUAUCGGUGUACGAUGGGGAUGCGUUCCAUUAGGUAGUAGGCGGGGUAACGGCCACCUAGCCUACGAUGGAUAGGGGUUCUGAGAGGAAGGUCCCCCACAUUGGAACUGAGACACGGUCCAAACUCCUACGGGAGCA